AAGGGAGAGAGAUGCAAACGACAAUCAUGACUAUUGUACUGUUGCACAUUUUGAUUUAGAAUGCAGGUGAUUUCCAACCAAAAUUUAUUUGAAAGUGUUUGAGAUUCUGGUAGUGACAUACUUUUGUUUAAUAAAGAAAAGAAAACAAAGUUCUGGUAGUGACACAAUUACCUCUUGGUUCUUGCUUCGCCCUCUUCUUGAUCCCUAACUUUUUCUUUUGUUUUGAACAAAUAGCUGCUUCCUUAUUCCCCUUUUUAUUUAUUUAUUUUAUGUUUGGUUGUUAAUAGGGAAUUCCCAAGGUUGAGCCAAGUAGUGAUUUGCAGCAUGUGGUAGAGAUAAAAACAUCUGAGAAGAUUGAGAAAAUGAGAGAAACGUGCCGGAUUGCAAGGGAAGUUUUGGAUGCUGCCGCACGAGCAAUUCAACCAGGAGUAACUACUGAUGAAAUUGAUAAAGUGGUCCAUGAGGCUACCAUUGCUGCUGGUGAGUAUCUUAUAUGAAAAUUUUUCUUGGUUAUUUCAUUUUUUUAAAGUGGAUUGUUUUGAGUGCAUAUAGAAAUUCUAUUCGCUUAUGCUCUCAGGAGAUCCAGCAUGCUCUUAAAGGAAUUCAAAUAAAGUUGGAUAUCUUUUCAUUCCCAUCUACACACACACACGCAUGCACGCACGCACACACCAUACACACACACGGAAAUUUAUCAAACUACAAUUAAGAUUUGAACUAUUUCACAUCUUAACCAUAUGUUUUAAUCAUAUUUCAGCUAGCACAUUAAAAAACAUCAAAAUAAAUGGAUUUUUAAAUUUGUCAAACUACACCGAGGCUAAAAUGUUUAAAUAUUUCGAUAAAUCUUUUUGAGUUGUUAUCUAAAUCUCAUUAUAAAGUUGCCAAAAAAUCAUAUCCAUUUCUCCUUAAAUUAUUCUUUUAUAUUACAUUAAAAAAUUUCUGAUUUUAAAAAGAAAUCUACUAUAGAGAAAGAAAUGGGAGCAAACAUUGAACUGGGUAUUUGGAUUAUCCAUAAAAAGACGGUCUUUUUUUUCCUGGGAAAAUGGUUAACUAUGUAUUAGUUUUAUCUAUUAUAGUACCAAAGACCCUGUUGACAACCCACACGGACAGGUGCUCUUUUACAAAAUGGGGUACACCAGUAAUGAAAAGAAACCGAAAAGAGCUCAGCCCAUGAAAAGUACGCUGUUACAAAAGACAGAACAAAGAUUAGAGGAAAGAAAGAAGAGAGAACAGAAAUAGGACUAGAGGAGA